AUUGAACGCUGGCGGCAGGCUUAACACAUGCAAGUCGAGCGAGCGGCGGACGGGUGGGUAAUGUCUGGGAAACUGCCUGAUGGAGGGGGAUAACUACGGGAACCGGUAGCUAAUACCGCAUACCACCAUAUGUGCCCAGAUGGGAUUAGGUAGUAGGUGGGGUAAUGGCUCACCGAGGCGACGAUCCCUAGCUGGUCUGAGAGGAUGACCAGCCACACUGGAACUGAGACACGGUCCAGACUCCUACGGGAGGCAGCAGUGGGGAAUAUUGCACAAUGGGCGCAAGUCUGAUGCAGCCAUGCCGCGUGUGUGAAGAAGGUCUUCGGGUUGUAAAGCACUUUCAGCGAGGAGGCGUUACUCGCAGAAGAAGCACCGGCUAACUCCGUGCCAGCAGCCGCGGUAAUAC
rnacentral:rRNA from 1 species